rnacentral:tRNA from 1 species
CAAAACAAUAGCUUAAUAAAAGCACCUUGCUUACACCAAGAAGAUGUUCACUAGCCCGAACUAUUUUGAAUUAAAG